rnacentral:rRNA from 1 species
GAUGAACGCUAGCGGGAGGCCUAACACAUGCAAGCCGAGCGGUAUUUGUCCUUCGGGACAGAGAGAGCGGCGUACGGGUGCGGAACACGUGUGCAACCUACCUUUAUCAGGGGGAUAGCCUUUCGAAAGGAAGAUUAAUACCCCAUAAUAUAAACCAAGGCAUCUUGAUUUAUUGAAAACUCCGGUGGAUAGAGAUGGGCACGCGCAAGAUUAGAUAGUUGGUAGGGUAACGGCCUACCAAGUCAAUGAUCUUUAGGGGGCCUGAGAGGGUGAUCCCCCACACUGGUACUGAGACACGGACCAGACUCCUACGGGAGGCAGCAGUGAGGAAUAUUGGACAAUGGGUGAGAGCCUGAUCCAGCCAUCCCGCGUGAAGGACGACGGCCCUAUGGGUUGUAAACUUCUUUUGUAUAGGGAUAAACCUACCCUCGUGAGAGUAGCUGAAGGUACUAUACGAAUAAGCACCGGCUAACUCCGUGCCAGCAGCCGCGGUAAUACGGAGGGUGCAAGCGUUAUCCGGAUUUAUUGGGUUUAAAGGGUCCGUAGGCGGGCUUGUAAGUCAGUGGUGAAAUCUCAUAGCUUAACUAUGAAACUGCCAUUGAUACUGCAGGUCUUGAGUAAAGUAGAAGUGGCUGGAAUAAGUAGUGUAGCGGUGAAAUGCAUAGAUAUUACUUAGAACACCAAUUGCGAAGGCAGGUCACUAUGUUUUAACUGACGCUGAUGGACGAAAGCGUGGGGAGCGAACAGGAUUAGAUACCCUGGUAGUCCACGCCGUAAACGAUGCUAACUCGUUUUUGGGGCUUCGGCUUCAGAGACUAAGCGAAAGUGAUAAGUUAGCCACCUGGGGAGUACGUUCGCAAGAAUGAAACUCAAAGGAAUUGACGGGGGCCCGCACAAGCGGUGGAUUAUGUGGUUUAAUUCGAUGAUACGCGAGGAACCUUACCAAGGCUUAAAUGGGAAUUGACAGGUUUAGAAAUAGACUUUUCUUCGGACAAUUUUCAAGGUGCUGCAUGGUUGUCGUCAGCUCGUGCCGUGAGGUGUUAGGUUAAGUCCUGCAACGAGCGCAACCCCUGUCACUAGUUGCCAUCAUUCAGUUGGGGACUCUAGUGAGACUGCCUACGCAAGUAGAGAGGAAGGUGGGGAUGACGUCAAAUCAUCACGGCCCUUACGCCUUGGGCCACACACGUAAUACAAUGGCCGGUACAGAGGGCAGCUACCUAGCGAUAGGAUGCGAAUCUCGAAAGCCGGUCUCAGUUCGGAUUGGAGUCUGCAACUCGACUCUAUGAAGCUGGAAUCGCUAGUAAUCGCAUAUCAGCCAUGAUGCGGUGAAUACGUUCCCGGGCCU